UAAUCAUUGAAUUGAGGGUUAUUGAGGUUUAAGUGGAUUAAGGUCUCAAAAAGUAGAAUUUUAGGUCCAAUAAGGAUUUUUAAGGUUUCUUGCAAUCUAUUAGUUGGAUUAAAGUAAAAUUUAUAAAUAAGGAUAGUAGACUUUUUUUUCUAUAUAUACAAGAAUUUUGAAAUCAAUCAAAUGAAAAAAAAAAAAAAGGAAUAUUGGCUCUAAGAGAUUGGCAUCAAGAUUGAAGAAGGAAGAUGGCUAAUACUUGAGCAAGUUUUUGAGGUUAUCGUCUAUUUGAUAAUUUCGAUCCUUUUCAUAUUUUUUGUACUUGUUGUCAAUUUAAUUAUUAAAAAUUAUGUAAAUUUUGAGUUAAGAUCAACGGUUCAUUCAUUAGUUAUUGACGUUUAAAUCUAUUAUAGGAAUUAUUAGGAUUUAGUUUAGGAUUUAGGAUUUGAUUAAGGAUUAGAGUUUGGUUAGGAUUUGAUUUAGGAUUAGGAUUUGGUUAAGAUUUGAUUUAAGAUUUUGAAUUUGGUUAGGGUUUAAUUUAGGAUUAAGAUUUGAUUAGGAGUUGAUUUAGAAUUUAAGAUUUGAGUAGGAUUUAAUUUAGGAUUUAAGAUUUUAUUAAGAUUUAUUUAGGAUUUAAGAUUUAGUUAGUUUAUAGCCUAAAAUUUGAAUUAAGUCCAAUAGGAUUUUAACUAGGAUUAAAUUAAGAUUGAAUUAAGAU
rnacentral:lncRNA from 1 species